AUUAUUCAAUUCAAAUUAGUUUUUUAAAAUUACAGUAGACUGAAUAGGUAUAUUAUAAAUUGUUUUAUUGGUUCUAGAACUUUAUUUUUGUGUCCAGUUAGUGCAAUUGUCUUGCUCAUUUCAGUAGCUAGCUAGCUACUGUACCAGCGCGAGCGUGAAGUUUUCUACACCAGAAUGGUAGAAUGACCAACGCUGCCGAAAAUGUUGUGGACUUUUUGUUGAAGAACCCCUUUCAUUCUCUGGCGUACACGGAAAGGGUGCGAAUUAAAAGCGAGGGGCGACCGCUGCCUGAGAUCAGUUUCAUGAAGAAAGAUGAAAAGGUGAGCUCGUUCAAUAUCACCUGGUAUCAAAAGUAUAGCUGGUUAAUAACAUGGAGCCUGUAUUGCUGGUCUUGCCUGCGUUUUUGGGCAUGCAAUAAUUUGCUUUUAGAGGACACGACGAGAUGGAAAGUUCUGCCGACAAGGAGUUUUGCCGAGAGGUGAUGACUACUCCACUCUACUACCUUUGUAGUAAAUUUCUCAAAUUUCUCCUGACAUGAACUGAAGCCACGUCUCAUGUGCCCGCACAUCCACAAUGUGCCAUUGAAUGUUUCCCCUCCAAGUACUUCAAAUCCUGUCCUGCGCUGGUCAAGCCUUUGAACACCUCAACUCAGGCCCUCAUUCAAUCAUUGCUGUGAUCCCUUUCCAACACUGUAUUGCCCCUCCUGCCAGACAUAGACCAAGGUGUCGUAGCUGAUGUGUUUGGAUGAGGGGUGUGAGGUUGCUGGCCAAGUCCAUCCAUACCCGGUAGUACUGUGAAAGGUCUGUCUAAAAUGGGCAAAGGUCAUACAACUAGAUAUGACAGUACGCUGAUUUAUCUGUGCACUAUACACCAAAUAAGAAGGUUUUGUGCUCUAGAAGUUAAAAAGUUCAAGCAAAAUAUAUGUUUUUGGCUCUACAAUCGGAAUGUACUGUAAGUUAAUAAGGUGUGAUGGAAUAAAAAUAUCUAAAUUUGAGAGUAGAACUUGAUCUAGUGUUGACAUUGAGCACACUCUUUCCCAUGUAAGUCAGUAGAGACCAGAACAUACCAACUGUCAUGUGCUCACAGCUCAGUGUGUGCUGGAGGGAGAAAGAUUGAUAGGUGUCCAUAUAACAUUAAUCAAAGCAAACCUAUUUAUCAGUUUAAAACCCUGGUAGCACAUGGUAUUUGUGGAUCAAGAGUCACUGGAGGAAAUACCAUGGGUCACUGAGACUGAAAAUAAUUCCAACCUUCUCAUAUUAUUGGUGCGGAAUCUACAGACUGACGUUACAUGUGGAAGGAAGUAGGUCCUCUAUGUUGCUUUUCAUAUCUCAAAACCAAAACCAGGCAGUUAUUUGAAAGAUGACUUAGCUGAUCUAAUUUGUAGAGAGCAGAGAAAUCAAGCUUGCUUCAUCAGCAAAACAAAACAGCCCUUAAAGGAAAAGGUACCGAUAUGGUAAUAAAUAAAAUGCCAACAGUUGAAAACCUGAAGUCUCACCAUUUCUGUUAACAGUAAUUGCAGUCAUUUUGAGACAUUUUCUGACAACAUGCUGAACUCAAAUGACAUGUAUAAAGUUAGAAAAAGAUGCCUUACUGCUGGCUGCUU